rnacentral:tRNA from 1 species
GCCCAGAUGGCGGAAUUGGUAGACGCGCUAGCUUCAGGUGCUAGUAUCUGUACGGAUGUGGAGGUUCAAGUCCUCUUCUGGGCA